rnacentral:rRNA from 1 species
CUGCUGCCUUCCGUAGGAGUUUGGGCCGUGUCUCAGUCCCAAUGUGGCCGUCCACCCUCUCAGGCCGGCUACUGAUCGUCGCCUUGGUGAGCCGUUACCCCGCCAACGAGCUAAUCAGACGCGGGUCCAUCUUACACCACCGGAGUUUUUCACACAAAUCCAUGCGGCUUCGUGCGCUUAUGCGGUAUUAGCACCUAUUUCUAAGUGUUAUCCCCCAGUGUAAGGCAGGUUACCCACGCGUUACUCACCCGUCCGCCACUAAGUA